rnacentral:rRNA from 1 species
UUGGAGGGCAAGUCUGGUGCCAGCAGCCGCGGUAAUUCCAGCUCCAAUAGCGUAUAUUAAAGUUGUUGCAGUUAAAAAGCUCGUAGUUGAAUUUCGGGGUUAGUAGAUUGGUCAUGCCUCUGGUAUGUACUGGCCUCACUGAUUCCUCCUUCCUGAUGAUCCGUAAUGCCAUUAAUUUGGUGUUGCGGGGAAUUUGGACUGUUACUUUGAAAAAAUUAGAGUGUUUAAAGCAGGCAUUUUGCUUGAAUACAUUAGCAUGGAAUAAUAAAAUAGGACGGCAUGAUUCUAUUUUGUUGGUUUCUAGGAUCACCGUAAUGAUUAAUAGGGAUAGUUGGGGGCAUUAGUAUUCAAUUGUCAGAGGUGAAAUUCUUGGAUUUAUUGAAGACUAACUACUGCGAAAGCAUUUGCCAAGGAUGUUUUCAUUAAUCAAGAACGAAAGUUAGGGGAUCGAAGACGAUCAGAUACCGUCGUAGUCUUAACCAUAAACUAUGCCGACUAGGAAUCAGACGAUGUUAAUUUUUUAAUGACUCGUUUGGCACCUUACGGGAAACCAAAGUGUUUGGGUUC